rnacentral:rRNA from 1 species
UACGGGGGGAGCAAGCGUUGUUCGGAUUUACUGGGCGUAAAGGGCGCGUAGGCGGCCGCCUAAGUCAGACGUGAAAUCCCUCGGCUCAACCGGGGAACUGCGUCUGAUACUGGGUGGCUUGAAUCCGGGAGAGGAAUGCGGAAUUCCAGGUGUAGAGGUGAAAUUCGUAGAUAUCGGGAGGAACACCAGUGGCGAAGGCGGCGACCUGGGCUGAUACUGACGCUGAGGUGCGAAAGCGUGGGGAGCAAACAGG